rnacentral:tRNA from 1 species
GCCUCCAUGACGAAAUUGGUAGACGUGCCGGUCUUAGGAACCGGAGCUGAAUAAGCGUGCCGGUUCAAAUCCGGCUGGGGGCA